AAGCUCGGAUUUCUCUUCAGUCAAGUAUGAAUCUUUUGCCUUUUACUAAAGAUUUCCAUGAUGGGUAUAAUCAAUGAGUUUGAUGUAUUUUUGUGAGCUUUGCUCUGGCAAAGCU